rnacentral:rRNA from 1 species
CACCUGAUCAGCAUGCCGCGUGUGUGAAGAAGGCCUUCGGGUUGUAAAGCACUUUUGUCCGGAAAGAAAACGCCGUGGUUAAUACCCGUGGCGGAUGACGGUACCGGAAGAAUAAGCACCGGCUAACUACGUGCCAGCAGCCGCGGUAAUACGUAGGGUGCAAGCGUUAAUCGGAAUUACUGGGCGUAAAGCGUGCGCAGGCGGUCCGCUAAGACAGAUGUGAAAUCCCCGGGCUUAACCUGGGAACUGCAUUUGUGACUGGCGGGCUAGAGUAUGGCAGAGGGGGGUAGAAUUCCACGUGUAGCAGUGAAAUGCGUAGAGAUGUGGAGGAAUACCGAUGGCGAAGGCAGCCCCCUGGGCCAAUACUGACGCUCAUGCACGAAAGCGUGGGGAGCAAACAGGAUUAGAUACCCUGGUAGUCCACGCCCUAAACGAUGUCAACUAGUUGUCGGGUCUUCAUUGACUUGGUAACGUAGCUAACGCGUGAAGUUGACCGCCUGGGGAGUACGGUCGCAAGAUUAAAACUCAAUG